GAUGAACGCUGGCGGCGUGCCUAAUACAUGCAAGUCGAGCGAAUGGAUUAAGAGCUUGCUCUUAUGAAGUUAGCGGCGGACGGGUGAGUAACACGUGGGUAACCUGCCCAUAAGACUGGGAUAACUCCGGGAAACCGGGGCUAAUACCGGAUAACAUUUUGAACCGCAUGGUUCGAAAUUGAAAGGCGGCUUCGGCUGUCACUUAUGGAUGGACCCGCGUCGCAUUAGCUAGUUGGUGAGGUAACGGCUCACCAAGGCAACGAUGCGUAGCCGACCUGGGAGGGUGGUCGGCCCCACUGGGACGGGGACACGGCCCAGACUCCUACGGGAGGCAGCAGUAGGGAAUCUUCCGCAAUGGACGAAAGUCUGACGGAGCAACGCCGCGUGAGUGAUGAAGGCUUUCGGGUCGUAAAACUCUGUUGUUAGGGAAGAACAAGUGCUAGUUGAAUAAGCUGGCACCUUGACGGUACCUAACCAGAAAGCCACGGCUAACUACGUGCCAGCAGCCGCCGUAA
rnacentral:rRNA from 1 species